rnacentral:misc_RNA from 1 species
GAUGAAGAACGUAGUGAAAUGCGAUAAGUAAUGUGAAUUGCAGAUUUCAGUGAAUCAUCGAAUCUUUGAACGCACCUUGCGCCUUGUGGUAUUCCACAAGGCAUGCCCGUUUGAGUAUCAUUAAAUCAUCAACUCUAAAACCUUUGUGGUUUUUUUAGAGCUUGGUCUUGAGGGUUUUGCAGGCUUUUUUUUUUCGAGUCUGCUCCCUUUAAAUGCAUUAGCGAGACUUCCCUAUGCUGAACCGUCUCUUUGACGUGAUAAUUAUCUGCGUCGAAUUUUGGUUCUCGUUGGGCUUGCUUCUAAUCGUCUGUUAAAGACAAAACGGAUUUGGGUGCAUAUAUGCGCCUUUUUCCAAAACCUUUUUUGAUCUCAAAUCGGGUAGGACUACCCGCUGAACUUAAGCAUAUCAAUAAGCGGAGGA